rnacentral:rRNA from 1 species
UACGUAGGGUGCAAGCGUUGUCCGGAAUUAUUGGGCGUAAAGAGCUCGUAGGCGGUCUGUCGCGUCGGCUGUGAAAACCCGGAGCUCAACUCCGGGCCUGCAGUCGAUACGGGCAGACUGGAGUUCGGCAGGGGAGACUGGAAUUCCUGGUGUAGCGGUGAAAUGCGCAGAUAUCAGGAGGAACGCCGGUGGCGAAGGCGGGUCUCUGGGCCGAUACUGACGCUGAGGAGCGAAAGCGUGGGGAGCGAACAGG